CAAUCAGCUCCAGUUGCUCUGAAGACCAUAUAAAAGCAGCUUCUGCAGGUUGGAGUCAUUGUGAUCUGACCUUUGUGUUGGUGUAGUCCACUGUCUCCAGUUUGUGCUGAGGUUCCAGUAGCAGCUAUAGAAUGAGGCUGGUGUGGGUUUCUUUCCUGCUGUUUGGAAGCAUCACCUGUGAUCCUCGACAAGAAGGAGGUGGUCCAACAUGGCGACCAUCAGCACAGCCAGCAUGCAGCUCCAGGAGAUGGCAGCGCUCAGUUUGCAGAGGAGAGCUGGAGCUCUUCAUCUGAUACCAGUGGUGAAGAUGAGCCAGUCUUCUCCCUUGUAGAUGAAGAGGAUCAAGAGUACACCUACAAGUCAAAGUCACGAUACAACCGUAAGCAGCUGAGGUUCAGCCAAUUCCACUACACCCCAACAGAACAAAUUGUUCUCCAGCCACUAGGGUUUCCCCAUCGUGGGAAAACCUCAUCAUCCAGGCAAAAAGGACUACUGAGGAUGUGUGGUGAGAGUCACUUAACUAAGUGUUCAGCCUCACUGCUGAGGUUCUGACUGACUGUCUUUUCCAGGUCUGAACGUUCAGCAGUGGUUCCUUGAUUCAUUAAAAUAUGAAGAUGUCAGAAUAAAAUGCCUUGUCCUCCUGAAA